UACGUAGGGUGCGAGCGUUAAUCGGAAUUACUGGGCGUAAAGCGUGCGCAGGCGGUUCCAUAAGACAGAUGUUGAAAUCCCCGGGCUUAACCUGGGAACUGCGUUUAGUGACUGUGGGACUCGAGUGUGGCUGAGGGGGGUGAAUUCCACGUGUAGCAGUGAAAUGCGUAGAGAUGUGGAGGAACACCGAUGGCGAAGGCAGCCCCCUGGGUCAACACUGACGCUCAUGCAC
rnacentral:rRNA from 1 species